UACGGAGGGAGCUAGCGUUGUUCGGAAUUACUGGGCGUAAAGCGCACGUAGGCGGCUUUUUAAGUCAGGGGUGAAAUCCCGGGGCUCAACCCCGGAACUGCCCUUGAAACUGGAAAGCUAGAAUCUUGGAGAGGCGAGUGGAAUUCCGAGUGUAGAGGUGAAAUUCGUAGAUAUUCGCAAGAACACCAGUGGCGAAGGCGGCUCACUGGCCCGGUACUGACGCUGAGGUGCGAAAGCAUGGGGAGCAAACAGG
rnacentral:rRNA from 1 species